rnacentral:rRNA from 1 species
AUUGAACGCUGGCGGCAGGCCUAACACAUGCAAGUCGAGCGGAUGAAGGGAGCUUGCUCCUGGAUUCAGCGGCGGACGGGUGAGUAAUGCCUAGGAAUCUGCCUGGUAGUGGGGGAUAACGUCCGGAAACGGGCGCUAAUACCGCAUACGUCCUGAGGGAGAAAGUGGGGGAUCUUCGGACCUCACGCUAUCAGAUGAGCCUAGGUCGGAUUAGCUAGUUGGUGGGGUAAAGGCCUACCAAGGCGCUUUUCCGUAACUGGUCUGAGAGGAUGAGCAGUCACACUGGAAGUGAGACACGGUCCAGACUCUUACGGGAGGCAGCAGUGGGGAAUAUUGGACAAUGGGCGAAAGCCUGAUCCAGCCAUGCCGCGUGUGUGAAGAAGGUCUUCGGAUUGUAAAGCACUUUAAGUGGGGAGGAAGGGCAGUAAGUUAAUACCUUGCUGUUUUGACGUUACCAACAGAAUAAGCACCGGCUAACUUCGUG